CUUCAGCGAGCCGAGCCACAACGGCCGGUCGGUGUGUCGUCCUUGGCCGUAGGUGGCCAGGAUUGCCUGUGCUUC
rfam:Streptomyces paucisporeus strain CGMCC 4.2025 genome assembly, contig: Ga0079900_165